GGAUAACCUGCCGUAUACAGGGGGAUAACACUUAGAAAUAGGUGCUAAUACCGCAUAAGCGCACAGCUUUGCAUGAAGCAGUGUGAAAAGCUCCGGCGGUAUACGAUGGAUCCGCGUCUGAUUAGCCAGUUGGCGGGGUAACGGCCCACCAAAGCGACGAUCAGUAGCCGGCCUGAGAGGGCGGACGGCCACAUUGGGACUGAGACACGGCCCAGACUCCUACGGGAGGCAGCAGUGGGGAAUAUUGCACAAUGGGGGAAACCCUGAUGCAGCGACGCCGCGUGAGUGAAGAAGUAAUUCGUUACGUAAAGCUCUAUCAGCAGGGAAGAAAAUGACGGUACCUGACUAAGAAGCCCCGGCUAACUACGUG
rnacentral:rRNA from 1 species